UCAUUUUCUUUUCUAUUAGCACGUGAUUCAGUGGAAAUUUCCGUUCAGAUUUCUUUCACUUUUGUUAAAACUCUGGCAGCGUGGUUGGCCAGUUGACUCAACGCUAAGCUACGGUAAGGGUGGUUGUGGCAGGACGCGGAUGGUAACUUUUUAAAGUAAGUGACUGAGAUUGAGAACCUGGGAUGGAGUCCUUCUCAUCUACAUGCUCUCUCAUGACAGACCCUGCAACCACUGUAAUCCCGUGGUAUUACGGCACAGAGGGAUUACGUCCAUCCUAAAGGUAUAUUAUUAUCACCAUUUAUUCACUCUAACAUCAAACCUGCACCAAACUGCAUGAAUAACAAGCUCACUCCCAUCUACACCAUCACUUUAAAAUCUACUAAGCUCAUUUCCAUGCUUGCAUGUUACAUCUUAACAAUCAGGGGUUCGUUCAACGACAGCGAGAACGUACCCCAUCUAUAACUCCACACAAUCCGUUAUCAGUCACUUGUCAUGUAACAACCACUCACACCAUUUAUAUGCACCUGAAAUAUUCCCAAACUAAAUGGAAUAAUUCUGUUUGGAUGUGCAUUUUCUGAAUGUAUGUAUUUUCUGUUCUUUAUUUACUGCAAUGGUGAAAUGCGGAACCAACUGCCAUUGGAAUACGCAAUAUGGAGUCCAAUGGAAACUGCACCAGUCAUUCCAGGGCCAUGAAGACUUCAUUGGAGCUGUGGUGAGCGGAGGUUGCUGUGAGGAAAACAACACUUACACAUUUUAAAGUUCAGGAAUAGAACCUGAAGCUGUGGUGAGCGGAGGUAUGCUGUGAGGAAUGACACUAAUUUAAAAGUUCAGGAAUACAACCUGAGGGUGAUGUCACAAGGAUAAUGGCUACCAAGGAUCAUGGAAGGAGGACGAGGAUGUCUUAUGGUCUGAGGAUGCAAGUUUCUAGGUAAGAUGACUUAAGAAAGUAAAAUACAGUAUAAGUUAUUACUGUCUGAAUGUAUCUAUUUUUUGUCUUUUAUUUACUGCAAUGGUGAAAUGCGAAACCAACUGCCUGUGAAGUACGGAGUCCAAUGAAAACUGCACAUCAAUACCGUCUGCGUUCGUGCUGGUGACGUCCAUCCGCCGAUGACCAAGAAGACAACCGCUGGUUCCUGGCUUCAUAGAGGAGUGUUCCUGUCUCCCUGGUGGAUGAGAGAAUGCAUUGCAGUCUGAUGGAUCAACAACAGAUGUGAUGUCACAAGGAUAAUGGCUACCAAGGAUCAUGGAAGGAGGACGAGGGUGUCUUAUGGUCUGAGGAUGCAAGUUUCCAGGUAAGACGACUUAAGAAAGUAAAUACAGUAUAAGUUAUUACUGUCCAUAAGUAUUAAGUCGUAAAAAAAAGUGCUUUUGAAAACUUAAUGUGGCGUAUUUUGAAUGCCCAAACAAAACUAGCUCAAUAAAACCAUGCAGUUUAACCCUUAACAAAACCUAAACAUUCCUUUCUUUCCUCUGAUGUGUUCAUAAGUGUUCAUCAAAGUUUAACGAAAAAUUUACAAUUUAUUUUACGAUUUGCUAAAUGCAGACAAACGAGUUGAUGAGAAAUAGUUGACUUUAAAAAUUCAAAGAAAUAAACCCUAACGAAUAAUAUGAUUGAAAAACUCAAACCCACAUUUAUGUUGACCUAAAUUAUUCCCAAACUAAAUGGAAUAAUUCUAUUUGGAAGUGCAUUUUCUGAAUGUAUCUAUUUUUUGUCUUUUAUUUACUGCAAUGGUGAAAUGCGAAACCAACUGCCUGUGAAGUACGGAGUCUAAUGAAAACUGCACAUCAAUGGCGUCUGCGUUCGUGCUGGUGAUGUCCAUCCGCCGAUGACCAAGAAGACAACCGCUGGUUCCUGGCUUCAUAGAGGAGUGUACUGUCUCCCUGGUGGAUGAGAGAAUGCAUUGCAGUCUGAUGGAUCAACAACAGAUGUAAUAAUGG